AUUGAACGCUGGCGGCAUGCCUUACACAUGCAAGUCGAACGGCAGCACGGGGGCAACCCUGGUGGCGAGUGGCGAACGGGUGAGUAACACGUCGGAACGUGCCCAGUUGUGGGGGAUAACCUAUCGAAAGGUAGGCUAAUACCGCAUGAGCUCGUGAGAGGAAAGCGGGGGACUCGCAAGGGCCUCGCGCGACUGGAGCGGCCGAUGUCCGAUUAGCUAGUUGGUGAGGUAAAGGCUUACCAAGGCGACGAUCGGUAGCUGGUCUGAGAGGAUGAUCAGCCACACUGGGACUGGGACACGGACCAGACCCCUACGGGAGGCAGCAGUGGGGAAUUUUGGACAAUGGGGGCAACCCUGAUCCAGCCAUGCCGCGUGAGUGAAGAAGGCCUUCGGGUUGUAAAGCUCUUUCGGUGGGAACGAAACGGUGGCGGUGAAUAUCCGCCAUCAAUGACGGUACUCACAGAAGAAGCACCGGCUAACUACGUGCCAGCCGCCGCUGUAACAC
rnacentral:rRNA from 1 species